ACCACAAUUUAUCAAAUAGGUUCCCAGCUUUCAAAGUACCAAUUUCCAUCUGCUUCUCAGAAUUCAAGAAAGUUAGCAACAUGGAUUUUGAACCAAUUUCUAUCUGCUUCUCAGAAUUCAAAAAAGUUAGCAGCAGGGAUUUUGUGGGAAACUAUAGUGAAAGUUAUCAAACUCCACCUUAGUAUCCCUAGGUGGUUGAAAUUAUCACCAUCUAUUUUAUUUAUUAUUAUUGUUUGAUAGGCUUGAUAAAAUAUUACCGGCUAUUUGAAAGAGUUAUGGAAACAAGGGUUACCUUGUCGAAAGCAUAUUUUUGCCCUUGAAAUAGCCAAAAGGAGUGCAACCGAGGGGAAUGGA
rnacentral:lncRNA from 1 species